UCGAGCACGGAACUCAUAGCAAGUAUGAUCGAAUCCUUAACUCAAAGGAUUGUAUGUUCAAUCUUGACUUUACACUAACUCUAGUGUUCUUUAUUUCACUUUAUGUUGCCACUCUAGCAAUCGUUGUUCUUUACUUUUUCUUUUACUUUUGCUAACUCUAGCAAUUAUAUUCUUUACAUUCUUUGCUUUUGGCUACCUCUGGCACUUCGUGUUCUUUACUCCCCACAUUACUUUAACUCUAAACAUUGUCAUUUUCAUCAUUCUUUACAUCACGUUAGCUCUUUGCAUCACACUAACUCUAGUGUCUCUUUACUUUACAUUUUCAAAUGCCACUCGAUCUAUGUCAUUGUGUCACUCUGUUCUUUUGCUCAUUUUGGGUGCUCACUUUUC
rnacentral:lncRNA from 1 species